rnacentral:rRNA from 1 species
UACGGGGGGGAGCAAGCGUUGUUCGGAAUUACUGGGCGUAAAGCGCGUGUAGGCGGUUCGGUAAGUCUGCUGUGAAAGUCCAGGGCUCAACCCUGGGAUGCCGGUGGAUACUGUCGGACUAGAGUACGGAAGAGGCGAGUGGAAUUCCCGGUGUAGCGGUGAAAUGCGCAGAUAUCGGGAGGAACACCAAUUGCGAAGGCAGCUCGCUGGGACGUUACUGA